rnacentral:lncRNA from 1 species
GGUAGCGCGGCGGCGGCGCGUGGUGGCGAGGGUUUCCUUCCCUUGUUCUGUUUAUUUAUUGUUUCGCUCGGCCCAGCACCAAGACAGGCCAGGGGCUCGGCCCAACUAAGGCGCCCGGCCACGACCUCCUCCUCCUCCGCGCUUCGUCGUCCAAGGCCACCCGGGGCUUCUCGUCGUCGACCUCCGCGCCCGCGGCACCGGCCCACGCCACGGCUGAACUUCUCCAACCGCGCAAGGACGAGCCCCCCGCGCCAGGGUCCGCCACCGCCGCACGUUCUCGUCCGCGGCCACCCGCGUCGUCGACCGCCGCGGCCGCACUGGUCGAGCUCGAGCCGCAGCAGAAGCAACCUCCCGCGCCUACUCGUCAUCGGCCGCACUGGUCCCGUCUCCCGCGCCGGCGUCCGCCACGACCCCACCCAUGAAGCAGCCCACUCCGGCAGCGAUCAAGCGGCAGCGCCAACUCCAACCGGCGCCAACACGUGUGGCCGGACCAGCCGAUCUGAUCAAUCUCGCUCAAGCGGGACGCCGAUCCAUCUACUAAGCCAGGGAGCUCGCGGGAAUUGCAAGGCCUUCGAAGAGCUCGCCGCAAGCUGCUCGACUCCAGCACUGAAGGAGGAAUUGAAAGACGUCCACCACUACUUCCUGUGCUCCGGCUUUCACUCAUUGAAUUGA